rnacentral:tRNA from 1 species
GGGCGCAUAGCUCAGCGGUAGAGCGCCGCUCUUACAAAGCGGAUGUCGCUGGUUCGAACCCAGCUGUGCCCA